rnacentral:tRNA from 1 species
GUGAAUAUAGUUUAAUUAAAAUUCUAGGUUGUGGUCCUAGCGAUGAGGGAUAAUAUCCCCCUAUUCACC